CCAGACUCCUACGGGAGGCAGCAGUAGGGAAUCUUUCACAAUGGGCGAAAGCCUGAUGGAGCAACGCCGCGUGCAGGAUGAAGGCCUUCGGGUUGUAAACUGCUUUUAUAAGCGAGAAAUAUGAUGGUAACUUAUGAAUAAGGAUCGGCUAACUACGUGCCAGCAGCCGCGGUAAUACGUAGGUGGCAAGCGUUGUCCGGAAUUACUGGGUGUAAAGGGAGCGCAGGCGGAUUGACAAGUUGGGAGUGAAAACUACGGGCUCAACCCGUAACCUGCUUUCAAAACUGUCAGCCUUGAGUGGUGUAGAGGUAGGCGGAAUUCCCGGUGUAGCGGUGGAAUGCGUAGAUAUCGGGAGGAACACCAGUGGCGAAGGCGGCCUACUGGGCACUAACUGACGCUGAGGCUCGAAAGCAUGGGUAGCAAACAGGAUUAGAUACCCCAGUAC
rnacentral:rRNA from 1 species